rnacentral:rRNA from 1 species
UACAGAGGGUGCAAGCGUUAAUCGGAAUUACUGGGCGUAAGGCGUGCGUAGACGGUUACAUAAGUCGGGUGUGAAAGCCCCGGGCUCAACCUGGGAAUUGCAUUCGAGACUGCGUAGCUAGGGUGCGGAAGAGGGAAGCGGAAUUUCCGGUGUAGCGGUGAAAUGCGUAGAUAUCGGAAGGAACACCAGUGGCGAAAGCGGCUUCCUGGUCCAGCACCGACGUCAGGCACGAAAGCGUGGGGAGCAAACAGGG